GCCCUUGUAGUUCAAUGGAUAGAACACGGCUCUCCUAAAGCUGAAAUAUGAGUUCGAUUCUCAUCGGGGGUACAA
rnacentral:tRNA from 5 species